GACGAACGCUGGCGGCGUGCCUAAUACAUGCAAGUCGAGCGAAGUUUUUCUGGUGCUUGCACUAGAAAAAAUUAGCGGCGAACGGGUGAGUAACACGUAAAGAACCUGCCUCAUAGACUGGGACAACUAUUGGAAACGAUAGCUAAUACCGGAUAACAGUAUUUCUCGCAUGAGAGAGAUUUAAAAGUUGGUUAUGCUAACACUAUGAGAUGGCUUUGCGGUGCAUUAGCUAGUUGGUGGGGUAAAGGCCCACCAAGGCGACGAUGCAUAGCCGACCUGAGAGGGUGAUCGGCCACACUGGGACUGAGACACGGCCCAGACUCCUACGGGAGGCAGCAGUAGGGAAUCUUCCGCAAUGGGCGAAAGCCUGACGGAGCAACGCCGCGUGAGUGAAGAAGGAUUUCGGUUCGUAAAGCUCUGUUGUUAGGGAAGAAUGGAUAUGGAGUAACUACACAUGUAAGAGACGGUACCUAACCAGAAAGCCACGGCUAACUACGUG
rnacentral:rRNA from 1 species